rnacentral:rRNA from 1 species
AGUGAACGCUGGCGGUAGGCCUAACACAUGCAAGUCGAACGGCAGCACAGUAAGAGCUUGCUCUUACGGGUGGCGAGUGGCGGACGGGUGAGGAAUACAUCGGAAUCUACUUUUUCGUGGGGGAUAACGUAGGGAAACUUACGCUAAUACCGCAUACGACCUACGGGUGAAAGCAGGGGAUCUUCGGACCUUGCGCGAUAGAAUGAGCCGAUGUCGGAUUAGCUAGUUGGCGGGGUAAAGGCCCACCAAGGCGACGAUCCGUAGCUGGUCUGCGAGGAUGAUGGGCCACACUGGAAGGGAAACACGGUCCAGACUCCUACGGGAGGCAGCAGUGGGGAAUAUUGGACAAUGGGCGCAAGCCUGAUCCAGCCAUACCGCGUGGGUGAAGAAGGCCUUCGGGUUGUAAAGCCCUUUUGUUGGGAAAGAAAAGCAGCAGGUUAAUACCCCGCUGUUCUGACGGUACCCAAAGAAUAAGCACCGGCUAACUUCGUG